rnacentral:misc_RNA from 1 species
GUAUUACAUUUGCUUUUUAAGCCAACAAGAUAUUCUUUAAAAAUUGUGGUACAAAAUAUCCUACAUGAACAAUUAAAGACAUCAUUCAACAUCUUGUCUUAUUCAGCAGGCAGAGAUGCACAAGGUAUAAAAUAGGAUUGGUAUCGGAGUGCACACCCAAACAGGCUUUUGUUUCCCUUCCUCUCGAGCCGUCAGGCCCCCACCCAAGCAAUAAAACUAUUGAAGGGAGGAUUGAGAAGUCAAGACUAGCACAUCCAUCACAUUAAUGAUCCUUCCGCAGGUUCACCUACGGAAA